AGUGAACGCUGGCGGUAGGCCUAACACAUGCAAGUCGAACGGCAGCACAGUAAGAGCUUGCUCUUACGGGUGGCGAGUGGCGGACGGGUGAGGAAUACAUCGGAAUCUACUUUUUCGUGGGGGAUAACGUAGGGAAACUUACGCUAAUACCGCAUACGACCUACGGUUGAAAGCAGGGUAUCUUCGGACCUUGCGCGCUUUAAUGAUCCGAUGUCGGAUUAGCUAGUUGGCGGGGUAAAGGCCCACCAAGGCGACGAUCCGUAGCUGGUCUGAGAGGAUGAUCAGCCACACUGGAACUGAGACACGGUCCAGACUCCUACGGGAGGCAGCAGUGGGGAAUAUUGGACAAUGGGCGCAAGCCUGAUCCAGCCAUACCGCGUGGGUGAAGAAGGCCUUCGGGUUGUAAAGCCCUUUUGUUGGGAAAGAAAAGCAGCAGGUUAAUACCCCGCUGUUCUGACGGUACCCAAAGAAUAAGCACCGGCUAACUUCGUG
rnacentral:rRNA from 1 species